AUACUUAGGGUGCAAGCGUUAAUCGGAAUUACUGGGCGUAAAGCGCUCGUAGGCGGCUUGUAAAGUCGGAUGUGAAAUCCCCGGGCUCAACCUGGGAACUGCAUUCGAUACUGGCAAGCUAGAGUAUAGUAGAGGCAAGUGGAAUUCCGGGUGUAGCGGUGAAAUGCGUAGAUAUCAGGAGGAACAUCAGUGGCGAAGGCGGCUACCUGGACCAAUACUGACGCUAAGGUGCGAAAGCGUGGGGAGCAAACAGAAUUAGAAACCCCGGUAGUCC
rnacentral:rRNA from 1 species